GAGGAAUAUUGGACAAUGGUCGGAAGACUGAUCCAGCCAUGCCGCGUGCAGGAAGACGGCCUUAUGGGUUGUAAACUGCUUUUGCAGGGGAAGAAUAAGGACUACGUGUAGUUUGAUGACGGUACUCUGCGAAUAAGCAUCGGCUAACUCCGUGCCAGCAGCCGCGGUAAUACGGAGGAUGCGAGCGUUAUCCGGAAUCAUUGGGUUUAAAGGGUCCGUAGGCGGGCUAAUAAGUCAGAGGUGAAAGCGCUCAGCUCAACUGAGCAACUGCCUUUGAAACUGUUAGUCUUGAAUGGUUGUGAAGUAGUUGGAAUGUGUAGUGUAGCGGUGAAAUGCUUAGAUAUUACACAGAACACCGAUAGCGAAGGCAUAUUACUAACAAUUAAUUGACGCUGAUGGACGAAAGCGUGGGGAGCGAACAGGAUUAGAUACCCUGGUAGUCCACGCUGUAAACGAUGGAUACUAGCUGUUUGGUUGCAAGACUGAGUGGCUAAGCGAAAGUGAUAAGUAUCCCACCUGGGGAGUACGCACGCAAGUGUG
rnacentral:rRNA from 1 species